ensembl:misc_RNA Metazoa_SRP Metazoan signal recognition particle RNA
GCUGGGCAUGGUGGUGUGUGUCUGUAGUCCCAGCUACUCAGGAGGCUGAGGCAGGAGGAUCGCUUGAGCCCAGGAAGUUGAGGCUGCAGUGAGCUAUGAUUGGGCCACUGCACUCUAGCCUGGGCAACAGAGUGAGGCCCUGUCUCAA